rnacentral:rRNA from 1 species
ACCUAGCGGCGGACGGGUGAGUAAUGCUUAGGAAUCUGCCUAUUAGUGGGGGACAACAUCUCGAAAGGGAUGCUAAUACCGCAUACGUCCUACGGGAGAAAGCAGGGGACCUUCGGGCCUUGCGCUAAUAGAUGAGCCUAAGUCGGAUUAGCUAGUUGGUGGGGUAAAGGCCUACCAAGGCGACGAUCUGUAGCGGGUCUGAGAGGAUGAUCCGCCACACUGGGACUGAGACACGGCCCAGACUCCUACGGGAGGCAGCAGUGGGGAAUAUUGGACAAUGGGGGGAACCCUGAUCCAGCCAUGCCGCGUGUGUGAAGAAGGCCUUUUGGUUGUAAAGCACUUUAAGCGAGGAGGAGGCUACCGAGAUUAAUACUCUUGGAUAGUGGACGUUACUCGCAGAAUAAGCACCGGCUAACUCUGUGCCAGCAGCCGCGGUAAUACAGAGGGUGCAAGCGUUAAUCGGAUUUACUGGGCGUAAAGCGCGCGUAGGUGGCCAAUUAAGUCAAAUGUGAAAUCCCCGAGCUUAACUUGGGAAUUGCAUUCGAUACUGGUUGGCUAGAGUAUGGGAGAGGAUGGUA